ACCCCCCUUUCAUUGAGACACAAUCUUUAGUUUUUUCAGCAAAGAGUGAUACGUGUCACAUGGCAAUACCCUGGCAUUGGAGAUAAUCCCUUUUCACCUGUGUGAUCUGUGUGUCAAGUGUUUUUUCACAGUGAAUGACCAGAAUAAUGACUGCUAAACAUAUUUUACCCUUUCUUUACAGUUCUGAACAAGUUCAACCAACUUUAAUGAAGGCAUAAUCCUUUUAUCAGCAUAAUGGGGUGUGUUUUACUUUUUCUUAAUACAAUAUUGUCUGUUUAGUCAUUGUUCAUUAUAUUAAAACAAGAAAACCAUACUUUUGUAACAUCAGUGAAUCGUUUUUAACCCAUUUUGAUGUUACUAUGAAAUUAAUAUCUCUGAUAGUUUAAGAAAACACGGGGCUAAUAAGGGACUUUUAUUUUGAAAAAUCGUAACCGGAAGUCGCUCGAGCUCAUUUGCCUAUAGUUGCUCACUGAACGCUGCUCAGACUCCGCCUCAAUGGGAUGGAAGCUGAAAUAGCGUGGCACUGCCUAUAGCCUACUAUGUGUUUCACAAAAUCGGACCAAAAUCAUUUCCAAGUCGUUGAUUUAGUUAAGGAUUACCGUUCCGUUUGUGUUUUCUUUUCCCAACCGCAACUUCACACCCAGACUUUCACUCAUAAGACAAUAUUUUGUGGUCAUAUACAGUUUCUAUUGAACUCUCUGCCUCUUGAUGGCGAGUGAGGCUGACCUCACUCUGCGGUGCCGCAGGCUGUUGCCCAUGCCCAACUCUCCAGAGCAGGAGGGGAUGAUGGGAGAUAGAGGCAUCAGGGAGAGACAUAUCACAACCAACGGUAAGAUUUAACUACAAUGACAUUGUAGUGACUGAAGUGUGUAAUAAUGGUAUUGUGUCAACACUGUAGCUCAUGAUCUAAUUCCAACUUCCGAAGCCUUUCUCACACCAGCUCUCUGGAGUCAUUUCUCCUCCCUGAUUCAAUGGGUGGGGAGAUUUUAUAAAGCCAUAAUGGAUAAGGGUAGGUGUAAGGGUGUUAUUCAGACUGGCAUCCUGGUGCCCAUUGCCAACCUGGCAGGGAGGGACUACCCGGAUGAAUACAGUUAAUCUCAAUUAGUGCAACUGGCAUCUCGUGUUACGACCCGACAGAGACUUUCAUUAUGGCCAACACAGGUUUUAGAGGUAAAUUUGGAACUCGAAGUUUACAACUAUAUGCUAACUAUUUACUAACUAUAAUACGUAGUAGCUUCAUCUGUCUGUGAGUUUUUCAUUUGAAUGUUGAGGUUGCCUCAAUCAGGCCCUCAUUCUAAAGUGUAGUAUUAGGUGCUGUUGUGUCCUUGGUGUGGCGGAAGAAGCAUUUCUCAGUACUUCAUCUAUCUAUAUUUGUUUGGCAUUGUGUUGUCUUCAAAUGAUUCAUGUUAGUUUGACCUGCAGCCAGAGAGCUCCUGGAAAGCAUUUCCUCAGGCGAGAGUAUUUUUUUGAUUUUCUUGUGUCAAAUUAUAGCUGCUUAAACAGAUGUUUUCUAGUACCAUGCCAUCCAUAUAGAUUACAGCUUUUGUAUUGAACUUAAAAUGCUGGUGAAUAUAUAACUUUGCUUGUCUAUUAAUCUGAUUCAGACAUCAUACAUAAGAUAACGUCGUUGGCAGGAAAUGAAUCACCUGAUUUAUGUGUGGGUGGCGAUUCUCUCCUCAGCAGCUGUGAAAUUCCAGCCUUUGAUCCAUUUAUAUUCAUGUACCAAAGAAACUGCUGAAACACUCAUUUGAAUGCUUCAUGUCUGGUUAGUAUUUCAUUUGGUUUUAGAGGCAAUGGUAAUUUUAUAGUGCUGAAGGAAAUGAAUGAAGGGAGCUGUUUGAAAGUGUUUUUACCUCCGGUGUUUUUUUUAUCCCACACCCUGUGAUAUUCAGUGAGUAAUUCUUUCAAGGCUAUUCUGAAAUGAGGGUGAAGGAAAAUUUUACUCUGUAACAGUUUUGCAUAGGCGUGUGUUUGUUUGUUUGUUUGUGCGUGUGUGCGUGUGUGUGUGUGUGUGUGUGUGUGUGUGUGUGUGUGUGUGUGUGUGUGUGUGUGUGUGUGUGUGUGUGUGUGUGUGUGUGUGGUGUGUGUGUGUGUGUGUGAAUAGUUCAGAUGAGUAGUUGUAGCUGUCACAGUCCUCCCACACUGUUGACUCUUCAUGUCAAAUCAUCUUGCUCUUUGCCAGCACUGACAAAGUAGGAACAGUGUGGUGAAAGAUGUGUGCAUUUUACUGGUCAUUGUGGAAAAGGCAUUAUGGACAAUGUGCUUGCUAGAUUCCUUUAAAACUUUGAUAAGUAAACUGUUACCGGAAAAAUAAACAGGUACAGAAAUCUUAGGUUUCA
ensembl:lncRNA